rnacentral:rRNA from 1 species
GACGAACGCUGGCGGCGUGCCUAAUACAUGCAAGUUGAGCGCUGAAGGUUGGUACUUGUACCAACUGGAUGAGCAGCGAACGGGUGAGUAACGCGUGGGGAAUCUGCCUUUGAGCGGGGGACAACAUUUGGAAACGAAUGCUAAUUCCGCAUAAAAACUUUAAACACAAGUUUUAAGUUUGAAAGAUGCAAUUGCAUCACUCAAAGAUGAUCCCGCGUUGUAUUAGCUAGUUGGUGAGGUAAAGGCUCACCAAGGCGAUGAUACAUAGCCGACCUGAGAGGGUGAUCGGCCACAUUGGGACGGAGACACGGCCCAAACUCCUACGGGAGGCAGCAGUAGGGAAUCUUCGGCAAUGGACGAAAGUCUGACCGAGCAACGCCGCGUGAGUGAAGAAGGUUUUCGGAUCGUAAAACUCUGUUGGUAGAGAAGAACGUUGGUGAGAGUGGAAAGCUCAUCAAGUGACGGUAACUACCCAGAAAGGGACGGCUAACUACGUG